CGUAGGGUGCGAGCGUUAAUCGGAAUUACUGGGCGUAAAGCGUGCGCAGGCGGUGAUGUAAGACAGUUGUGAAAUCCCCGGGCUCAACCUGGGAACUGCAUCUGUGACUGCAUCGCUGGAGUGCGGCAGAGGGGGAUGGAAUUCCGCGUGUAGCAGUGAAAUGCGUAGAUAUGCGGAGGAACACCGAUGGCGAAGGCAAUCCCCUGGGCCUGCACUGACGCUCAUGCACGAAAGCGUGGGGAGCAAACAGGAUUAGAUACCCUGGUAGUCCACGCCCUAAACGAUGUCAACUGGUUGUUGGGUCUUCACUGACUCAGUAACGAAGCUAACGCGUGAAGUUGACCGCCUGGGGAGUACGGCCGCAAGGUUG
rnacentral:rRNA from 1 species